UACGUAGGGUGCGAGCGUUAAUCGGAAUUACUGGGCGUAAAGUGUGCGCAGGCGGCGCCGCAAGUCGAGUGUGAAAUCCCCGAGCUUAACUUGGGAAUUGCGCUCGAAACUACGACGCUGGAGUAUGGCAGAGGAAGGUGGAAUUCCGGGUGUAGCGGUGGAAUGCGUAGAUAUCAGGAGGAACACCGGUGGUGUAGACGGCUUUCUGGACCGUAACUGACGCUGAGACACGAAAGCGUGGGUAGCAAACAGG
rnacentral:rRNA from 1 species